AGACUUGUGAGCCACCCCAUAUGUUGCUAGGAACUGAAUUUGGGGUUCUCUGGAAGAUUUGUAGGCUUAGAUUUUUCAAAACCUACUUUUAGAAGGGUUUUCAAACGAUUCAACCACCUACUCCUUCUAGUUCACCAUCCAAAGGUAGUAGGGAAAAGAUGUGUAGUAGGAAAUGGGGAUGUAGACCUUUUUAGAAGUAUUUCUUUGGGAUACCAGCAGUCCAGUUCAGUAGUAUCAAGAUACCAACAGUCCUGUUUAAAAUGUCACCAAACAUAUAUCAGCAGCAGCUGCACGAUCCAGCAGAAACAGCCAGGCCUCCACCUUAUCGGCAUGAGUCAGCAGAAAUGACCAGAACCAGCUGGGACACCAAAAAAAGUUCUCUGCCAUGGCUCUCUCUAUGAAGUAAAAAUCAACAAAGACCCGAGACCAACAAAGCAUUGCACAGCUAGCUAUCUAUGGUAGCCACCUGUUUCCUGCUGGCCUGGAUUCCUCCGCUGUGUGGAUCUGGUAGUGUGACUCACUGUGCUGCCCGGUGCAGGCCCGGCCCUGGCUCAGAACACGGAUAAGCAUUCCCACAGCGGGCGUGGCUCCAGACCCUACUGCUGCCACUACCUUCUGACAGACCAGCAGACUGGGCGAGGGAUGGAUGUCAGGUCCAUUCAUGUUCCACAGUAGAUGCCACUCUUCUUCCCAUGGCCAAAGAUGAGGGGGGAGAGGCUCUCCAAAAAUGGCUGGCCCGCCAUUUAAGACUAAGUCAUAACGUUUGCCCCAGAGACUUCUGUAUCCCUCCCAGGAACCUUCCCAGCCCCUACAGAGCAGAAGGGAGGAGGCCUGAGUAGCGUCCCACCCAGGUGGAGCACCUCUGUGGAGGAGGGUGACUGUUGCUGCCACUUGGAUUGAUACAGGACAGAGCAGGCAGAGGAUUCCGUUCCUUCCCUCGGUCCUCAGGUGCAAAGAUCCAGGGAUCCACAAUCUGUAUGUCUGUCUUCUUCUAUGCCCCACCUUCCAUGCCCUGAGCCUAAGGAGGCAGAAGCCUGGCUUAAGAGACAAUGGUGGAAACGCUGUCUAAUGCAGCCAGCACUGCCUCCUGGUCCCUCUUCACAGAGAGGUUUAGCAAGAGGAGAGAGCCCCAGCCUGCGAACUCUGAUCCCUGGCUUUCUUCAUGUCCGUUACUUGCAACCAGGGCAGCAAGGACUAACCUUGUGUGUGCCAAGGACACAAGCAGAGACUCUAGACUAUUUUAGAUCCCCCUACAUUCAACAUCUUUCCAUCAAUAGGCAAUCGUGACUAACAUUUACCGAUUCCUUAAUGCGUGCCAAGCCUUUUCUCUGUUGGGAAGUGAGAACGUUUACCAUGUUUUACACAUAAGGUGCUGAGGCCCAGGGUGGCUCAGUUAGUAAGUUGACCAGUAAGUAUAUGAACUCUAUGCUCUUAACCCAUGAAGUUGUCCUUCUAGGGUUAGGCUGUGUACUUCAGGGUCUCGAAAAACAACCUAACACUCUGAACCUUGUCUCUGCUCAACGUCAUCCUAUCUGUACCUCAGGUCAUGAUUCUGAGACCUGACCAUUCACGCAACACCCAGCUCUCAACUCCCCAUACUGAGCCUUCCGGGAGCCCUCUGGUGGUAUUUCUCAAAACAUAUGAGAAAACUCUUCUAGUUCAUUCGGAGACUGCUGCCUGCCCACUUUGCAGAAUUCCACAGGGGUGCUUAUGGUGGGGCAAGCUUAUCCCAUUAAAGGUGUGAAGGACUGGGGCCCAGCAAGGCUCAGUCACCCAAGAUUGCAGAGUGUCCAAGCAGGGCUCAGACAUAGAAUUCCCAUGUUGGCUUUCGAUAACUCCAUAGUUGCAGAGUUCCCUGGAACUGUGAAGUCUGGGGUCUGUGGAGAUGCUUAAUCCUCAUCAACACCCCAAAGCUAUUCCAUUCCUGGUUCUUCUUCUUCUCGAGCUUCCAUUUAUUUUGGAAUUGCCAGGGGAGACAUCUUUAACAAAAGAGUUAUAGCCCCCCUCCCCAUGAUUCUGUCGCUGGGAACCCAAGGUGAGCCCCAGGGCUGUAAAUCCGUAGCAUACCCUCAGACGAUGUGAGGCAGGAAUGUUUUGCACACUUGGUUCUGAAACAUCUGUUCCCAGGCUUUGCAGAGGCUCUGGUCUCCAAGUUCUCCCUCACGGUGGGACCCUAUGAGUGAAGGUCCCUUCAGUCUUGAUUUUGCUGUGCAGGCAUCUUUCUUGGGGGCGGGGGCUGAAAUGACCAGUUCUCCUUGCGCACUGAGGAUGCCUUAAGGCUUGAACUGCUGUGAUGAAACACGGUGACCAAAAGCAACUUGGGAAGGAAAGGGUUUAUUUCAGCUUACAACUUAAGUCACACCCCGGCACUGAGGGAAGUCAGGGCAGGAACCAAAGCAGAAACCACAAGAAAAUGUAUUGUCUUGCUCAGUUUGCUUUCUUAUACACUCCAGGACAACUUGCCCAGACAUGGCCCAGUGGGCUGGACCCUUCCACAUCAAUCAAAAUAAAUGCCCAGCAAGCUUGCCUGCGGGCCAAUCUGAUGUGUGUUGGGGGCAGUUCUUCAAUUGAGAUUUCCUGUUCCUAGAUAUGUCUAGGUUUGUGUCAAAUUGGGGUCGAACUGGCACAGAGAACCAAAUGCUUCUCCUGGGUCACCCUCUCUGAGCAAAGGUCCUGAGAGCUAACAGCAAUCUGCCUGUUCUCUGACCAGGCUGUGCUUUCUGGCUAUGAUCUGAAAAAAAAAGAUGCCCCAAGCAGUUUCUUACCUUGGGAUGCAAUCACUUCAGAAUCAUCCUUAUGGAUUGUCACAGUGCGUCACAGUGAUCUCUGCCCUGACCCAGGGCUGGGGAACAGAGCCCAGAAGCCUUGCACACUAUGCCAACAUCAAACUGUGUCUUAUGUACUGGAACUUGGAAUAACUUUGCAGUGUCGCAGUCUUGGGUUCAAACCUUUCUCUGGGGGUGGGAGGGCAGGGUGGGGACAGCCAUGAACCGGUUAACAGCAGUGUGUGUUACUCACCCACUGGCAAGCACUGAGCUGCUUCAAAACAAUCCUGAAUUUCCAUUUCCUCUGGGAUGGGCUCAGUGGAGUUUUUGAAGGUGACCAGACCUUUCCCAUCCUCAGGUUAGGGGUCAGGAUCUGUGAACAAAACACAAUGCAAUUCCGGCUCUCCUGAUGUCCCCAGCUGUGCACUAUCUGCCCCCCAACUCCCUGCCAGAUCUCCUCCGUUUCCCAUUUCCAAGCCCCUCAUGGGCUUCAGGCCCAGCCUGGGAGACCCCUUGGGCCAAUCCUUGGUCCGUCAAGGUCCUGGGAACCUUUGACUUUGAAGCUGGUCUUUGGGAAUUCCAGAGUCUCCAUUAUUGUCCUUCUGGACUCCUGAAGCCCAGCCAACCCAAAGGAAUGGCAGAACUUUUGAAAGCCUCAGCAUUCAUAAUGGGCCAUUCCUUUCCAGAAAUGGUCCCCCAACUCUGCUGAGAGCCUGCCAGGAGACUUGGUGACAGCCUGCUCUUGGCACACACAAUAGACUCGGGUCAGAACAACGUGGAGGGGAGAAAACAUCCAUCUGUCGCUAGGCUGCCCUCCUCCUGGCAUGCCCCUCACCACGUGGCCAACUCUGGGCUCCCAGAGAGGGAGGGGUGCAUUGGGGGCUGGAGGCAGCUGUGGCAGCAAGCAGGAGAGGCGAAGGCUGGAUGCACGG
ensembl:lncRNA